AAAGGAUUUACCAUGUAGUUGAAUAGUGAUGUUUAACCAUCCUAAGGGUAUCUCCGCUUUUCCAUUAGCCAAGUAAAGAGGUCCACUCGACCAGUUUUGUAGCUGGGCAGAGGUAUCAAAAUGCUGCAUUAGACUUUCAUGUAUUAGCGUGUAGCUUGCUCCAGUGUCCAGUAUGGCUUUUCCAAACCAUGAUCCAAUACUAAUUGGGACAACUAAUUGUUGUGGAAUGGCCAGAGAUGACAUAGUUGUAGAUGGAAGGAAAACAUUUGGAACUUCUUUUGUUGAUUGGGGUGUUUCUGAGGCUGCUACAAUGAUGUUCGUAGGUCGACCUCCUGACUUUGCAGCAUGAAAACUCUUUCCAUGGUUUGGGUGAUGUUGCGUGGAAGAUUGCUGGGAAGGUGGAGUUAAAUACAUUGGGCAAUUUCCCGGUGGAUGUGGACCACUGCACCUCCAACACUGAAUAGGCUGUUUCUCAACAGGUCGAUUGGAGAAAGAUUUUUGUGAACUUGCUUGUUUGUGAGCCAUUCGACUUUCAUACCGUCUUUGUUCUUCAUAGUCUCGUUCCAAUAGAUAUCCCAAUUUAACUAGAUCCUCCACGGUGUUCACUCUACUGCGCAGUUGGCUGGCAAGUACGAACACGCUCAGCAAGCUCAUCUUCGUAGUCUUCAGACAGGAAUGCAGAAAGAAAUGCAGACUCAAAUUCCUUCCAAGUCGCAAUAUUGGAGCGACUCACUUCCCACCAGUCCCGAGCUGUGCCAUAUAAGACAGUGGGAAAGGUAGCCAAAAGAUCUGCAUCUGUCAAAGGAUGAAGUGCCAGGAAAUCUUGACAUUUUGUUAGGUACAAUAAAGGGUCAGUAUCAUCUGUAUGUCGUCCAAAGGUGGGAAAAGUUAAUUUAAGGUGAUCACUUUUGACCAUGGUAUUUGGUAAAGUUGAAACAGUCUCAGUGGAGAGUGUACUUGUAACUGGAGCAGCUUUUGUUUCUGUUUGAGGUUCAACAUCUUUCACAUUGUGCACUUGUAAAUCCUUUUUCAACUGUGUAACACAGGUCUGACAUUCACUAAUUUUUUCUUCACAUUGCUGAAGAUUUGUAGUAAGCUGAUCCAAACUUCCCUGGAGGGUUUGCUGGAUUGAUUUUAGAUCAUGGUGGACAUCUCUCCGGAGUUUUUCCACUUUGUCAACAACUGCUGAGGUAAGGGUUGAUUCAAAUUUCUGAAACUCAGUUGCAAGCAUCAAUUGUACAGCUUUGACCAACUGGUCAGCAUCUGCAGCCUCUUGUUGCUUAGCUCCAGUGAGUAUGGUGACAAUCUCUUGCUUAUUGGACUCUAUUUUGGCUGUAAGGGUGGUGAUUUGAUUCACAUGCUGGGAUGAUGAAGUUUUCAGCUUUUGAGUAAGUUCAUGCAAACAUUUCUCUUGUUUUUUCAUUGUUACCAUCAGAUUGUCCAAAUUACCUUGCACAUAAGAACUGACCUGCUGAAUUUCUCUCCUAGGGGUUGGAAGGUUCCCAGGCAGAUCAUGCUGUUCCAUUGUAGAAGGUGAUGAAACAUCUGCAGACGUGCACAGUUGCAUGCUAACAUGUUCCUGGGACAAAGAAAGAGGUUGCAUUAGAAUAUGGCCUCCCAGAGCAGUAGGAAGUGUCUGUACUGGAGUUGCAUGGCUUGGGAAACUGUGGACCGGUGAAAUAUUAUGCAUAAUUUGGUCAUGAGGUGGAAGUCCAGAAAGUGUUUGAGUUUGCAUUGGAGGUGACCACACUGGCGUGGAAAUUGUUGGGGCAUCAGGUGCAUCAAUAUCAACAUAUGUUGACGUUGAAUGGGAAAAGAACUGGGCCAUGACUUGUGUUGGUUGUGGGUGUGAUUAGGAUUUGUGUGUGUUUGGGACAGCAGGAAAAAAAAGGAAUAAAUAAAAAAAAAACCAAUAAAACAAAAAAUACUCACAAAGAAACUGUUCUCUGCAAUCAAUUACAUCAUGUCCAUACUAUCAAUGUAAGAGAAACCUUUCAAAUGCAUGUACAAAAAUACAAGACAGAUGACGAUCACAUUUUCUAGUUCAAGUUCCCACACACUUUGAUACAAAAAAUAAAUUCAGCUUACACUGGUUGCUCAAGCAAAUUUUCACAAUAAACUCAAAUCAUUAUACCAAAAACCACAUACAUGACAAGUUUUUUUUUUUAUACACAAUUUCAGUUAUUUGAUGAUUUUUGUCAAUAGUUCUCACAUUCAGCAAGAAAAAAACAAUUUUAAACUAUUAAACAUUCACAAACAAAACCCUGUCCAGUAAUUCAGGUCAGUCAGUCAGUCAAAGAAAUUUUCAGUUAUUCAAGUCAAUCAAUGAAAGUUUUUAAUUAUUCAAGUCCCUUAAAGUGUUUAAAGUCCCUUAAAGUGUUCAUGUCCCUGUUUGGGUGCCAUUUCUGUAACGGUGGUCACACACACAAAAAAAAAAAUUUUUAAGUAAUAACUCUUAGGUUAGAUUCGAACCCGGGCCUCCCGCAUGGCAGGCGAGAUUUCUACCACUGAACCACGGAAGGCGCUGUCGGGGCCGUGCGUCUGGUAGUAUCUCCCACUAACGCAGUCACCCUCGGGCAAAAAAAAAAAUAAAAUAUAUUAUAAUAUAACAUACAUAUAUUAACAAAUUUUAUGCAUGAUUUCGGGUGCCAGACAAGUUUUAAACCUUGCCACAAAUAAAUCUAACUAUAAUUAAUUACCCAGGAUAGCGAAAACAAAACUUAUACAAGACCCUCCGUUACAUACAGUAACAUAGAACCAUACGAAAUAAGAACAAGAAAAUCGAAUUCCACUUAGAAAGAUUUAAUGAAUUAAUUGAAAUGGCAAAUACAACUACAAGUAAUAACAAUACCAAAAAUAAAUAUUUAUAUAGUCAAUAUCCUACAAUCAUUUUAAGUAACCCAAAACAAGAUUCCUCUCAAAAAACAACAACAAAUACACCAAGAAAUAAAUAAACAAAACUUUUCAAAUUUCUCAAAUAACUAAUUAAAUGAAAAUAAAGGGAGGUUGGGUGGAGAAUGUAUGUAUGUAAGUGUAUGAGUGAAACUGACCCAAGAGGCUUGCAGUGGUGACGUCAGGAGGUUACACGUCAGCAGUUCACUGGCUGGCAGGUGACUUGGCAGAACGGAUAGAAAUGAUGAACAGGCAGCCGUUUUCGGAGGUGUCCUAACACAUCGCACCGGUAAUUUUUCAACACGAAGGUAACAUAAGACUGGCACUCGUCAGCAAUUACCAGGAAACUUGUUGUUACGGUGGCUAUAAAGGACAAGUCAGUGAAAACUUGAGCAUCGCCGCAUCUCUUCCUCAGCUUCCUCAGACCCAGGCAGAGCCACACCCGCAACGCAACUUGGUGACGCAAACACCACUCCCACACUGGAGGUCAGAACUCUCUCUCUCAGAAGAGAAAAAAAAAAACCCUUU